rnacentral:rRNA from 1 species
CGGCGGACGGGUGAGUAAUGUAUGGGGAUCUGCCCGAUGGCGGGGGAUAACUACUGGAAACGGUAGCUAAUACCGCAUAAUGUCUACGGACCAAAGCGGGGGACCUCCGGGCCUCGCGCCAUCAGAUGAACCCAUAUGGGAUUAGCUAGUAGGUAAGGUAACGGCUUACCUAGGCGACGAUCCCUAGCUGGUCUGAGAGGAUGAUCAGCCACACUGGGACUGAGACACGGCCCAG